rnacentral:rRNA from 1 species
CACGUAGGGCGCAAGCGUUGUCCGGAAUUAUUGGGCGUAAAGAGCUCGUAGGCGGUCUGUUGCGUCCGCUGUGAAAACUCGGGCUUAACCCCGAGCCUGCAGUGGAUACGGGCAGACUAGAGGUAGGUAGGGGAGAAUGGAAUUCCCGGUGUAGUGGUGAAAUGCGUAGAGAUCGGAGGAACACCUGUGGCGAAGGCGGACCGACUGGGCCGACCCGUGACGCUGAGGCGCGAAGGCGGUGGGGAGCGAACGGGG